UCACCUGAUGAACAAGAGCUCCAAGCUCGAAUAUAACCCAGCUCUUCGAUUGCCUCAAACUACCAACGCGAGGAUCAUGAGAAAACGUCCCGUCUGAUAUC
rnacentral:snoRNA from 1 species